AGAUGGUCGAUAGUGUUGCACAGAGAAUAUAGGGCUGCUGUCCUUCCCCAGUGGCUUCAUGUCUCUUAUUUCGAGAAAGAUAUGGGUAUGGUCUCACACCUUUCCUCCAGCCAUGUCUGCUCCCCUCUUCCGGCCCUGAACCAUGGAGGAAGGUUUUCUCUGGUCUCCCACCUUGCCCCAAAUCAUCCAUGAAGGCCUAGUGGAGCUUUAUGGAGAGGAGCUUCUGAAUCGUGGCAGCUCCCUUACGUCUGCAACUCCCAGGGGAUCUGUGGGCUCGUGCCGGUCACACUUGGCAAACACCAACCCCCAAACUAACUUGCUCACAAACCGAAGGCAAGCCCUGUUGUCGUACAUGGUUUUUUGCACAAGACUUAAGAAGAGAUCGUUUUCUG